rnacentral:rRNA from 1 species
UACGGAUUACCCUUGGUUACGACUUCRCCCUAAUCAUCUGUCCCACCUUAGGACGGCUGGCUCCCGAAGGUUACCCCACCAGCUUUGGGUGUUACAAACUCUCAUGGUGUGACGGGCGGUGUGUACAAGACCCGGGAACGUAUUCACCGCGGCGUGCUGAUCCGCGAUUACUAGCGAUUCCGACUUCAUGUAGGCGAGUUGCAGCCUACAAUCCGAACUGAGACGUACUUUAAGAGAUUAGCUCACCCUCGCGGGUUGGCAACUCGUUGUAUACGCCAUUGUAGCACGUGUGUAGCCCAGGUCAUAAGGGGCAUGAUGAUUUGACGUCAUCCCCACCUUCCUCCGGUUUGUCACCGGCAGUCUCACUAGAGUGCCCAACUGAAUGCUGGCAACUAGUAAUAAGGGUUGCGCUCGUUGCGGGACUUAACCCAACAUCUCACGACACGAGCUGACGACAACCAUGCACCACCUGUCACCUUGUCCCCGAAGGGAACGCUCCAUCUCUGGAGUUGUCAAGGGAUGUCAAGACCUGGUAAGGUUCUUCGCGUUGCUUCGAAUUAAACCACAUGCUCCACCGCUUGUGCGGGCCCCCGUCAAUUCCUUUGAGUUUCAACCUUGCGGUCGUACUCCCCAGGCGGAGUGCUUAAUGCGUUAGCUGCGGCACUUAAGGGCGGAAACCCUCAAACACCUAGCACUCAUCGUUUACGGUGUGGACUACCAGGGUAUCUAAUCCUGUUUGCUACCCACACUUUCGAGCCUCAACGUCAGUUACAGUCCAGAAAGCCGCCUUCGCCACUGGUGUUCUUCCAUAUAUCUACGCAUUUCACCGCUACACAUGGAGUUCCACCUUCCUCUACUGCACUCAAGUCAUCCAGUUUCCAAAGCAAUUCCUCAGUUGAGCUGAGGGCUUUCACUUCAGACUUAAAUAACCGUCUGCGCUCGCUUUACGCCCAAUAAAUCCGGAUAACGCUUGGAACAUACGUAUUACCGCGGCUGCUGGCACGUAUUUAGCCGUUCCUUUCUGGUAAGAUACCGUCACACAUUGAACAGUUACUCUCAAUGUCAUUCUUCUCUUACAACAGUGUUUUACGAGCCGAAACCCUUCAUCACACACGCGGCGUUGCUCCAUCAGGCUUUCGCCCAUUGUGGAAGAUUCCCUACUGCUGCCUCCCGUAGGAGUAUGGGCCGUGUCUCAGUCCCAUUGUGGCCGAUCAGUCUCUCAACUCGGCUAUGCAUCAUUGCCUUGGUAAGCCAUUACCUUCCCAACUAGCUAAUGCACCGCGGGACCAUCUCUUAGUGAUAGCAGAACCAUCUUUUAAAUAACAACCAUGCGGUUGUCAUUGUUAUACGGUAUUAGCAUCUGUUUCCAAAUGUUGCCCCAUGCUAAGAGGUAGGUUUCCCACGUGUUACUCACCCGUUCGCCACUCUUUGCGAUGUCCAUCGUCAGAUCUGAGGCAAGCUCUUCAAAUCAGYUGAACCACAAAGCGUUCGACUKGCAUGUAUUAGGCAACGCCGCCAGCGUUCAUCGUGAGCCAUAAUCAAACUCUAAUCGAAUUCCCGCGGCCGCCAUGGCGGCCGGAGCUGGABCGC